GACGAACGCUGGCGGCGUGCUUAACACAUGCAAGUCGAGCGGAGCGGCGGACGGGUGAGUAACGCGUGAGUAACUGCCCCCCUCCCUGGGGUAACAGUUGGAAACGGCUGCCAAUACCGGAUAGUGGGGGAUGAUUCGGGGCCUAUCGGCUUGUUGGUGGGGUGGUGGCCUACCACGGCGACGACGGGUAGCCGGGCUGGGAGGGCGACCGGCGACAUUGGGCUAAGAUACGGCCCAAACUCCUACGUGAGGCAGCAGUGGGGAAUAUUGCACAAUGGUGGAAACCCUGAGGCAGCAACGCCGCGUGCGGGAUGACGGCCUUCGGGUUGUAAACCGCUUUCAGCCAUGACGCGGUAGUGGCAGAAGAAGCACCGGCUAACUACGUGCCAGCCGCCGCGGUAAUUC
rnacentral:rRNA from 1 species